CAUCAAUAGAAGAUCUUGCCAGACUUCUAAAUGUGACAGUUGAUGGAAAAGUAUAUAGAGAUUCAACCAUCGAUAAUGCAGUCACUCAUUGUUUAUGCAGGAUACAAUGAGAUAAGAACAGAAAAUGUGAUGCAGAAACUAACAUUAAGGAAGAUCAAAUUUCCAACACAAUUAGCAUCUUUGCUGUGAACUGUAGAUGAAAUGAAUUAAAAGAGAAUAAUCAAUGAAGAGCCAUGCUCCUGAUAGAGACUUCAACGAGGAUUUCAUUCACCAACUUAGUAGUCAGAAAAAUGAGAUAUUGCGUUUAACGACAUCCGGUAUUAAGCAGACUGGCGUACUUUAUUGUGAAAGAGAUAAAUGCUGCCGACCAACAAAAGAUACACAUUAAUUUGAAAAGUUUUGAUCGAAACCUGAUAUGGAGUCCAGUGCUAACAAAUCAUAAUCUGAAACUACACCAACCUGCAAGGAGGAAAAAGGACUACUAUUUUGUAAGUAAUCAUUCAAAAUGUACAAAUAAUUGGAAAUUAAUGUGACAGCACACUGAAGGAAAGCCAAGAUAAGUUGAAUAAUCAAAACAGAUGAAUUACAAAAUUUGAUACUCCAAAGAAAGAGUUUACUAGACAUAUUUCAUUAUGUUAGAAGGUAAUGACUAGAUAA
rnacentral:lncRNA from 1 species